GGCCGGCCCAAGAGCGGUGGUGCCUACAGUUAACUGAUCACAACCAGUUACAGAUUUUUUUAAAAUUCCUUCUCCUCUCCCAUUGCUUCACUGGACUAGCCUAAA
rnacentral:Y_RNA from 1 species